AUUCAAUACCUUUAAUAUAGCUUGAGAGCUUUUCUGCCGUCAGUCACUUUACACCGGUCCGUCGAACUACAACAACAAAUCUUCGGCAGGUGUACAACAGCUUGAUGCGAAGUUAAGUUACCAGCACGACUUGCGGAGGGUUUUGCGGAAGCUUUUUGGAUGAAACGAAAGUAGUUUAAGGCAAACUACCCAACGGGUUCUUAGUAUUUCGCUGCAGAGUACUGGAAAGCGGUCGUCCGUCCUUUUGACGUGUCGAUACCUCUUGACGUUUGUUAAGCUGUCAAGCCAGUGAACGUAUGGGAGCCAAGUUUGCCAUGAGAUUUGCCUGUCGAUCAAUGUCAGCUUUCAUAAUUUGUAGCUUACGCAAUCGAGCUAUCUUAAGCUAACAUCAUGAUCACUCUAGCUAGGUUGAAGCUCAGGGAUACGUCAGUGAUGACUGAAGGAUGUGCAACGAAAAGUAUAAAAGAGGAAAUGCGGUAGAAGAUCUUCCAAAAAAUAAAAUAUCAUGGUAAAAGGAGUCGUCUCAGAUGUAAACUGUUAGUUUAAUUUCGAAUUAUAUUGAUCUUCAAACAUGGGAAAGUUGCUGUUGCAAUUACCAAUUUGAGAGAUAUCAUAACUUGUUUCGAGGUUUCAAAAAAGGAAAAGGAAAUAUCAGUUAUAAAUAUUUCAUCAAAUAAAGCAGCUGAAGAAUAACCGCUCA